CCGCUCCCGCUUCUCCCACCACACUUCCCUGCAAGCUGAGAGAAGCGGCUCUGGCCUUGGGCAGCCCAGAAAGGGGCUCCCUCAGUGCAGCGGUGGGCUGAAGGGCUCCUCAAGUGCCGCCAAAGUGGGAGCCCAGGCAGAGGAGGCGCCCAGAGCGAGCGAGGGCUGUGAGGACUGCCAGCACGCUGUCACCUCUCAGAACUAUUUACUCAGAAUGAGUGAAGAGACAGUCUUGCUCUGUUGCCCAGGCCGGAGUGGAGUGGCACAGUCAUAAUUCCCUGUACCCUUGAAAUCCUGAGCUCAAGCCAUCUCCAUACCUUAGCCUCCCAAGUGGCUACUACAGGACUGACUGAUAGUAUUUUCCUUUGGAAGAUCCUUUUAUAUUCUGUCUCUAUGAAAGAAGUGUUUUCAAUGAAAUAAGGCUGCUAUGAAGAAAUACCCAAGACUGGGUACUUUCUCAACUUUCAAAUUGAGCUGUUCAGAAUGUGUGAAACAAUUUUAAGAUGAAGUCAAAGAUACUUGAAGCAGAAGCUGUAUCUGAGGAAGCUGUAUAUAAACCCAAUUUAAAGCAAGUAAGUAGGUCAAUAUGAUUCCAGAAAACAGGCAUUGCCAUUAGAAGACAAUUAUUUAGUAUUCACAACCUUUUUCUUGGGACAUUUAAAAUUAGAAACAGAUUGGAGCGGUAUGUCUGCAUGUAUCAUCCAACUAACAAAACAACAAAUGCCUUAGGUAAGAUGGCUCAUUUCAGAAAGAUAUUUUUAAAUGAGAUUGAGUAGGACUGGGGCAAAAUAUCUUAUAGGUAAGAAAAAAAGAGUACGGAUUCAAUGGCUAAAAGAAAGAACAAACAAACAAAAACAAAAUAGAAACAGAAAAAAAACCUGCCAGAAAAGAGAAAACAAUCCUAGGAAUAGAGUAUUCAUUAGAAUAUAAGAGACUAGUAAAAUUAAAUUGUAGAGAUUAGGUAGAAACUUAAAUACAGAAAAUUAUAGUGCUGAAUUAAAAAUGAACUUUUAUGA
rnacentral:lncRNA from 1 species